rnacentral:rRNA from 1 species
CCCUUAGAUGUCCUGGGCCGCACGCGCGUUACACUGAUGCAUUCAACGAGCUUAUAACCUUGGCCGAGAGGCCUGGGCAAUCUUGUUAACGUGCAUCGUGAUAGGGAUAGAUUAUUGAAAUUAUUAAUCUUGAACGAGGAAUUCCUAGUAAACGCAGAUCAUCAAUCUGCAUUGAUUACGUCCCUGCCCUUUGUACACACCGCCCGUCGCACCUACCGUUUGGAUGGUCCGGUGAAGCCUCGGGAUUGUGGUUCUUGCCGCUUUAUUGUGGCGUGACCGCGAGAACUUGUCUAAACCUUAUCAUCUAGAGGAAGGUGAAGUCGUAACA